rnacentral:lncRNA from 1 species
AACAACUUCCAAUUACUUUCAACAAAAACCGGAGCUUAGUUCCCCAAUUAAUUUGUUUAGCUUUAAAUGCUUGCUUAGUUUAAUAGAGUGGAAGUUUAAUGUUAAUAGAGAUUAAUCAACUAAACCUUGUGGAGCCUAGUGGGAAUAAAUAGAAGAGGAGGGGCUUGACCAAAAUGAGACCAAAUAUGAGAGGUCAACUUAUAAUUGAUUCAAACUAUUUCUAUAAAUACCUAUCAAUUCUUCAUUUCCAACAUAUUUUCUUUAUUUCACCAAGUAAAGAAUUAGAGCAAGAGAGAGAGUGUGAGAGAGAGAGAGAGACUCACGAUUUGGGAGGAAGAGAGGAUAUGAGAAGAUAAGCUAACAAGCUUGCAAGGAGAAGGAAAGAAAUCAAUCAAAGCAAAGAAGGUAUAAACCCUAACUCUUUAUAAACUUAGUUAACUUGUGCUUUUAUUAGUUGUUGUGAGAGAUUUGUUGUGUUUGAUGGACGAUGGUGGAUCUUGGAGAAUGAGGUGGUAUUUGAUGUAUGGUUUGGUUUAUGUUAGAUCAUGCAUAAAAAACUAAGAAAACAUGAAAGUUUAUAAAAUGAACAUGAAGUUUUGAAAAUUGAAAAACUCUAAAACAAAAACUAAAAAUUGAAUAGUCAUAAAUCAUAAUGUAUAAUUAAUUUUUAAGUUUGGUUAGUCUUGAUGGAUGGAUAUAUGAGUCCUUUAAACACUCACAAAAAUAAUUUUAGUCAAAUUCGUUAUAGAUUAUUUAUGGUGAUUUUUCUACCCAGUAGGAAAAUCUGGAAAAACUAGCCAAACCCCAUACCCUAACUUUUUGGUGACAAUUUUGACCACUUAAAAUGUGAAAAAAAUUAAGGCCUUCUGAGGAUUAAUAUUUUAUGGUAUAAUGUAAGUCUAGUCCAGAAAUGAGUUCAAUUGGACUUCAGAUGAGUGAGAUAUGACCAAAAUAAAAUUAGGUUUUCAAAAGUUAAUUAAAAUUGUCAUAUCUGGAGUUCUUUAACUCAGAUGGUGAUGAAAUUUUUACUGAGGUACUCUCUGAUAUGAGGGAGAUACUAUAAAAGUUUGAAACUUUUUGGAAUUACUGUUGAAUUAUGAAAAUUUUGGUAAUUUUGAACAGAAAUGACUCUUUUAAAAAUACUAAAUAAAGCUGGAAAAAUCUAUUAAAAAAUUUAUUUUUACGUGUAAAAUAUUUUUAACUAAGUGGGCCAGGAUGAUGAAAAUAAUAAAAUGGUUAAGGAUGCUUAAUAAGGAAGUGAGGGUUAAGCAGAUUCAAAAAAAUUAAAUUAUGUAAAGCCGUAAUUAUAAUAUUUUAAGUUAUCGGCUAAAACGCAUUAAAAAGACGUAUGAGACUAAGUAAAGGAUAAUUAGACAUUUUUAUGUUGACGUUAUAAUAAUGAUGUGAAAUGGCGAUUAAGAUUAAGUUAAAGUUAAAUAAAUAAUUACUGAUGUAAGUUACAAUUAAGAACUGAAGAUAAUUAUUAAUAAGUAAUAAUAAAGUUAAUUAAGUAAAUCCUUAAGGAUGUUUUAGGUAAACAUUUGGACGAAGUUAAUAACGUAAUCAAGGAAAGUGUACCAAGUACAAGAAAGUUCUAAACUUAUGCAAACUUUUAUAUUUGUGCUAGUUCUCGCACUUACGUGCAUUUGACGGUCGUUGUAUUAUUGAAUUGUUUUUAUUCCUUAAAGUUCUUAUUUAUUCAUGAAACAUUUUGAGAUAUGAGUUGAUACCAUUUAUUUUGGCUAGACACCAUUGAUACGAGAUGAUAAAUUUUUGUUCUUUGAAGCUAUUUAAAGUUAAUCAUAUUGAAAUUAUUUUGGUGCAGAUUCGUAUAAUAAGACUGAGAUGAAAAACUAAUAAAGGGGAUAUUUAAUGUCGGGUAAACGACUUGACACUUAUACGUGUAAGAAUAAUGUUGUGCAUAACAUAGGAUAUAAUCGGUUGGUCCAUUAAAGUACCUGUAAAGAGUUUAAUAGUUAAUGUGAUUGUUAAACAAAUUGGAAAGAGUUCAUAAUUUUAUAAAUGUUGAACAUUGAAAGAGUUCACGAUCUUUAUGACCACUCAGCAUGAUGUUAAAAGUUUUAAAUUAAAGGAAUCCUUUUAUUUCCUGUUUAUUCAUAUUACUUCACAAUUGUUGAUUAAAGUGUUAAUGAUUUCUAAAAGCUUUUCUUUCUAUUCAUGAUUUAUUAUUCAUUGAAAUGUUUUACACUUGUUGACUAAAAUAGUUUUUCACUCUUACCAUAUUAAAUAUUUUGAGCUAAGACAGAAGGUCCCGCAUGAUUGAGGGGAAAUAAGGGCAAAGGAAAAGUGAAAGAGUAUAAAGUAAUUUAUGUAACUACAACAUAAUUAUUAAUGAUGAAAGAUUUUGGUAGAAAUUAUGUUUUGUUUAACUAAGGUUUAGAAACCUGGGACGAUUGUAAGGCAUGCAGGGGCGGCCCUGCCUUAGGGCAGGGGGGCACCUGACCCCACUGAAUUUUUAGGGGGUCAGGGGUCAUAUUAGGAGGGAAAAAAAUUAAGAGGGUCAUAUUAGAAAAAAAAAAUUAAGAGGGUCUAAAGUGAACAUGCAUACUAAGAAACAUGACCCCACUGUAUUAUGUUAUAAAUAUACUAAGUGAGCAGACACUAGGCAACAAUUCCUAAUUUCCAAAUCUCACUAAGUCAUUAAGCCAACUUUUUUAUUCUUCUAUAUUGUGGAUAUAGAGAAACGAUUCCAAUUUUUCGAGUAUAGAAGGAAUUGGGGAAUUGGCUCAAAUGUUGGUUCAGAAAAGAAAGGAUGAUGUGUAUCCCCAAGUCUAUUUGUUGCUGAAAUUGGCUCUACUUUUGCCCGUUGCUACAACUGUUGAAAGGACAUUUUCAGUCAUAAAUAUCGUGAAGAAUGAACUCCGUAACCAAAUGGGAGAUGAAUGGAUGAAUGACUGUUUAGUAACAUACAGUGAACGUGAUAUUUUUGUAACUAUAAAAAAUGAGGCUAUAUCAUACAACAAUUUUAAGCAAUGAAAUCUCGAAAAAUGUUAUUAUAAAUAAUAUUUGAAAAUUAUUUAGUUUUGUAAGUUAUUUUAUAAAAUUUUUAUUUGUAAGAAUUUUUUUUUCCGAGUUUGACCCCACUGAACAAUCCGUCUGGAUCUUCCCCUGAAGGCAUGUAAUAUAAUUAUUAUAUUUACUUUUAUGUCUUUUAAGUUAUGUCUAAAGAUAGAUGUUAUGAACGGUGUAAUAUAGUCAACACCAUAUCCGAUACUUAAAGUACAUAGAUGUGGGCAGUGGCGAAGCUAGGAAAUUUUAAUAGUGGGGUCAAAAUUAUUAAUAAGGUAUAAAAAAUUUGACAGGGGUUUGGGGGCAGCGUCCCCGAGCCAAUUUUUUUUUAAUACUUUAUACUUUCGGGUUAGACAAAUGCAUCCAAAUAUCCAAUUUAAUAAUACUAACAAAAGGGGGAAAUCACAAUUGAUUUCUGAAAACAAAACUGAGGUUGGAGAAAUUGAAGAUAGAGUAAUUUCUGUUACCUGCAAGGGCACAAGGUUGCAAGAGAGUCACAGUAGAAUAGAGUCGCACUCCAGUCUCCACACUCGCGGCUCGCCAGUCACCAAUACUCACUCCGACCACUCGUGAAAGGCUUUGAUAAUUCACGGUUUGCCUUUUGAGUGGGGUCAAAAAUUGAGUGGGGGUCAAAAAUUGAGUGUGAUAAAAAAAAAAGUGAAGUAAUUUUAAAAAUUAAGUGGGGUCAAUUGACCCCACAUUUGUACUCUAGCUUCGCCACUGGAUGUGGGGAGGCAUCACAUUUGCUGGGUGAUUUAACUAUGAUUAUGGAAGAGGGAGAUGCUUGAUUUUUCAAAUCAUGAACUGUUCUCCGUUUUGAAUAUUGGUGAUAUGGUGAUCUACCUGACAGUAGCUUUAUGGAUAAUUUCUUUUUGAAAAGAAAUGAAUGAAAGCAGAGGGACAUCCCACUUUUCAGUUGAAAAUUCACAUGUAAACAAAAAAAGAAAAAUUCCACUUUUUAGCCAUUCGCACAACUACGGUGCAAACGGGGAUAUUGCGAAUCAUAUGCCAUUACUUUUAAUGUAAGGCUAUUCUAGGUAUUUUUAUGUCCGCACUUUAUAUAUUUGUGUAGACAUCCUCAAACUAAAGUGUGGAAGAGGAAUCUGUAAUUGGACGACCACGAUUUGUUGUAAGAAUAAUCUUAAGUUUACAAAGUUGAUUAUGGAUCGAUCUCCAUAUAUAUAUAUAUAUAUAUAUUAAAGUCCAAUAAUAAUCUAGAAGGGGGGUUGAAUAUAUUAUUACAGAUUUAAAAAUUAUCUUAAGCCUUUUUGAAUUUUUUGAAUAUCGAUUGGUUUUGUUAAUUAAGAGUUGUAGUGUUUGCUUGAUUGUUCUGAGGCUGAAGGAAUAAAUUUGAUUAUGUGAUACUGUUGGAUUCGUAGACAUAUAGUUAGAUACAUUACAUCUCAUUGCAUUGCAUUGCAUAGCAUGUUAGCUUGUUUGAUUGCAUGUGCUCGAGGACUAACAUGGUUUAAGUUUGGGGGAUUUUGAUAAGUGGAUUUUAUAUCCACGAAUUGAUUCCUAAUUCGAGCUUAAUCGGUGUCAAUUCCUUGUUUUUAUGUUUAUUUUUACUUGUUUGUGUUUGUUUUAUGUAUAGGUAUGGUUGGUGUGGCAAGACAUAAAAAAGGAGGCAAUUGGGGUAGAAUCUUAGCAAAUUUGAAGAUUAAUCAAAGUCAGCAGUCAGGGGCAUAGCCCGCCGGGGCAGACAUGUUUUGGCUUUACACCCACGCCGGGGCGGGGGGUCUUCAGUUCUGUGAGACAGGAGCUAAGCCCACCGGGGCGGGCCAUUUACAUACAAAUACCCCCGUCGGGGCGGGGGGUGCCGAAUUUAGGCAAUCCUUUGCUGAUUGGAACUCUGCUGGAACGUGGAUUUUUGGUGCUUGGAAUGUGUUUGGACUCUAAAUGACACGGGACUUCGACCAAAACUCAUGUGUUGGAUAUAUAUUGAGUAACAAAUAACAAGAUCAUCAUCAUGCAAAGCAAUUAACAGAGUUUAAGGAUAGAAAUUCAUAUUGAGCAUUGGAGUGAAGAUUUUGAAGAACGUUCAUAUCGAUUACGGAUUAAGGCUAAAGUGGAGGGUGUUCUGCAUUAUUCUUCUUCUUUAGUUUUAUAUUUGUAAUUGAGAAGAUGUUAUCUUUAAUUUAUUCAGUUAUUAUUUCAUUUAUGAUGAACUAAAUACUUUUUAGGCUUAUGACGGAUCUUUAAGUGGAACGAUGAUUAUGUAAUCUUUGAUUUCAGUUUAAUAAGCUAUUAUCCAGUUUAUCUAUAUUAAUUUGAGCGUGAAUUUAUGAAUUGCCUGAUCAAUGAUUUUUUGUGGACUUGUAUGAAUUCGAGAAAUGAAACACGAGUCUAGACUUAGUUAAUAUAGCAUGUGUUCUCGAUUUAUGUGAAUGAACAAAAUCUUGAUGAAUGUUAG